rnacentral:lncRNA from 1 species
GUUCUGGGCUAUUCUUUAUGUAAAUAAAUAAUGUGAAGUAAAUAAUGUUUGUUGAGUAAGGAAUACACAGGUCUCUGUAACAACAAAUAUUUUUUCAUCUUUGUCUUAUCAAAAGAAUGGGAACACCUUCAAACACACUGCAGUGUUACCAUCAUCACACAGGUGUGUUGCACAGUGAAUUCACCCACUGUGGUCAGCUAGUACUGUUCAUUAUCUGGACACACAGAUGAGCCUGAAGCCGAUGCUUCAGGUACCAAAUAGCAAUGUAAAAGCCUUCUGAAUCAAGUCUUCUAGGUAAACAUAGAGUAUACUGUACUAUAGAGAAACCCUGUAGGUUGUGACAAGCUUCUGAAGCUUCAUGAUGAUGAUGAUUUUCACAUUUGAGAAACCCUAGUUCCGGUUCAAAGCAAAUUGGGAUCUGCACUCGUUAAUUUUCUUUGUUCGUGUUCAGUGAAAGAAAUCACCUUCUUCUCUGCCUUUCUGUUUUUCCUUCUUUAGAUAAAAUACAAACUUUAGCAGUGUUGUUGGGUUUUUUGUCUACUUUAAAUGUGUAAUUUUUAACUUCCUGUUGUUUUCUCUUUAUCUUUAACACUAAUGGGUGCAUAGUUGCAGCCAGGCUAAGUCUAGGACAGUUUUGUUAUAAAAUGCACUACUUAUUUUGACAACUAUUUAUUUUACGUGUAAGAGGGAGAGAGAGUAAAACUGUGGUUUGCUCAUAGGCCUAGUUAUUAAUGUUUUGUCAUGUGCUUUUUUCCUGAUUCCAGUUAGUUCCC